rnacentral:rRNA from 1 species
UGGGUAACCUGCCUCAAAGAAGGGAAUAGCCUCCCGAAAAGGGGAGAUUAAUACCGCAUAAUAUGUUUAAGUCGCAUGACUUAAACAUCAAAGGAUUUUCUUUUAAGAAAUUCCACUUUGAGAUGGACCCCGCGGCGCAUUAGCUAGUUGGUGAGGUAACGGCUCACCAAGGCAACGAUGCGUAGCCGACCUGAGAGGGUGAUCGGCCACAUUGGAACUGAGACACGGUCAGCUCC